GUGGCUUGCGAGUCUAAUAGUAGACACAACAAAAAUGGCUGUCAAAAGUUUAUUUCAAGAAGCAUGAAGAAGUCUGUUCUCAACCUCCUACUGGGGGUUCCACAGGAGCUAAAGUUCGAGACUGAAGAUACCAAGCAAGUCUUUGUAGGUUUAAUUGACAGUGCUAAGCGUUGUCUUGCUGCCAGACAUUCAUUGGCCCAGCAUGAGGAUCUGACAAACUGAUGCUGAUGUGGACAUAAAUAACUCAAGUCGCGUUGAAGACGCUUUGAAGGACUGCGACUGCCUUUGCUUGUUGACAGUCUCCCUGGGUACACCAUCAACCUAUGUAGAAAAUAAUCGAACUUUCGAUGAAUUUCCACAAUGGCAUAUUUUCAAUGCCGUCUAUUAUGCAAGAAAGCAAGCUUCCUAACUCUUCCACAACGUUCCCUGGACUGUAGCUGACCUGGAGCUGAAAAGAUUCCUUUAUUGUGCAUAGCCUUUUGCUGUAUCUAUUCAUAAAGUAUUUUGUCAGCCAUUAUGAUAAUCAUUUAUUUUUUUGUUUUUUGUUUCUGCUUCUGGUAAAAAAGAAAAACUACCAAGAAUGUAUUUCCUUUCCCUUUGUGUAUAUUUUUGAGUGUUCACAG